rnacentral:ncRNA from 1 species
UCCCGUUGCAUGUGCGGGUCAUCGCAUGCACCUCCCUGUUGGACUGGCCCGGGUCUCGACCCGGGCCUUUUU